UAAGGAAUAUUGGUCAAUGGACGCAAGUCUGAACCAGCCAUGCCGCGUGAAGGAUGAAGGUCCUCUGGAUUGUAAACUUCUUUUAUCUGGGACGAAAACGGGAUUUUUAUCUCAAUUGACGGUACCAGAGGAAUAAGCACCGGCUAACUCCGUGCCAGCAGCCGCGGUAAUACGGAGGGUGCGAGCGUUAUCCGGAUUUACUGGGUUUAAAGGGUGCGUAGGUGGGCUUAUAAGUCAGUGGUGAAAUCUCCGAGCUUAACUUGGAAACUGCCGUUGAUACUAUAGGUCGUGAAUUAUCUGGAGNUAAGCGGAAUAUGUCAUGUAGCGGUGAAAUGCUUAGAUAUGACAUAGAACACCAAAUGCGAAGGCAGCUUACUACAUAUAAAUUGACGCUGAGGCACGAA
rnacentral:rRNA from 1 species